UACGUAGGUGACCAGCGUUGUCCGGAUUUACUGGGCGUAAAGAGCGCGCAGGCGGUCGUUCAAGUCGAGUGUGAAAGCCCCGGGCUUAACCUGGGAAUGGCAUUUGGGACUGCAAGGCUUGAGUGCGGCAGAGGAGACUGGAAUUCCUGGUGUAGCAGUGAAAUGCGUAGAUAUCAGGAGGAAUACCGAUGGCGAAGGCAGGUCUCUGGGCUGACACUGACGCUCAUGCACGAAAGCGUGGGGAGCAAACAGG
rnacentral:rRNA from 1 species